GACGAACGCUGGCGGUGUGCUUAACACAUGCAAGUCGAACGGUAAGGCCCUUUCGGGGGUACACGCGUGGCUAACGGGUGAGUAACACGUGCGUAACCUGCCCUCCUCUCUGGUAUAACUGUCGUAAACGGUUGCUAACACUUGCUAUGAGCCUGCUCGUCAUCCUGUGUGGUGGUAAGAUUUUUUGGUUGGGGAUGGAUUCGCGGCCUACCAGCUUGUUUGUGGGGUAGUUGCUCACCAAGGCCUCCUCGGGUAGCCGGCCUGAGGGGGCGACCGGCCAAAUUGGGACUGAGAUACGGCCCAAAAGCCUACGGGAGGCAGCAGGGGGGAAUAUUGCACAAAGGACGGAAGGCUGAUGCAGCAACGCCGCGUGGGGGAAGACGGCCUUCGGGUUGGAAACCGCUUUCAAUUGGGACGAAGCUUUUUGUGACGGUAGCAGUAGAAGAAGCACCGGCUAACUACGUG
rnacentral:rRNA from 1 species